rfam:Schistosoma haematobium scaffold214_15, whole genome shotgun sequence.
AUCCAGCUGACGAGUCCCAAAUAAGACGAAACGUGCCUUGGAU